rnacentral:lncRNA from 1 species
GCAGAUUUCUCUUGAGCCCAAAUUCUUAAAAUUAUACCUGCCGACGUGGGCCAUUUAACAUUAUUGACAAAUGAUGCCUAAAAUCAUUUUACAAACAAAUCAUACGGCCCAAGUAGCAUUUAAUUAUGAACUAACCAACCCAAACUAAGAUAGAAUAAUACUUACUUGAUUAACGUUACUUAAAUCUCAGACAACUAACCAAAAAUUAUUAUACAAAUAAUUGAACAUAUGAACAUUUCUAUCAAUGUAAACUAGCAGUGAAUAAGCAGACUUUGUUCUAACAAAUAACACCCAAAUAAUGAAUUGAAAGUGGAGUUAAAGAAAGGGUGGACCUUUAUUGCUAAAUUUCCAGCCAGUACAGUGAAUAGAAGCUCCAAAACAUUAAUCCUCAAGUGAGCUACAGACUAGAAACUUGAACCGGAAUCGGCGAUCCCAAGCUGACUGAGCUUGAGACGGUGGUUUCGGGCUGAUUUUCACACUGGUUUUGGGUUUUUUUCAUCUGUAUUUUUGAUGAUUUUCGUGACUUAUUGGGGUUGUUUUGCUGGUUUUUGGUGCUAUUUUGCGAUAUUUUGGGGCUGAUUUUAUAGCAGGUUUUCAAGCUGAGUUUUCAUAUGGUUUUGAGGAGUUUUUCAGCUCACUUCCAUGGCUGGCAAUGGAGUUUUUUCGGGCAGUUUUGGGCAGAGGUUGGAGGUGCUUUUGGGGGCCGAUUUUGGAGGUUUUAUUAGGUGACGAAAAUGGUGUUUGAUGGAAGUGAUAUUAGCUGGUUUCAAUGGUGGAACUAUGGCUAUUUUUCUCCAGGAAGAGGAAGACGUUGCCCUUUUUUUAGCUCACUCGGUUUCUUUCCCUUUUUGUGCUCCUUAUUUUUAAAAAAACAUUUCCCCUUUUCUUCCUCAUGUGUGUGUACAUAUAAUAAGAAAAGAUGAGAGGAAGUGUGUUGAGAAUGAAUGAUGGAACAAUGAAAUAAUGUAAGGAGUGGGGUGAUGAGACAAAAAAAUAGUAUAAGGAGUGAGUAUGGGACAAGGAAAUAGUGUAGGGAAGGUGGAAGGCAAUUUAAUUAGAUUUGGUCCGUAUUUAAAAUUAAUUUUUGCGAUCACUAUGUAGUAGACUGCGUACAAUAAUAUUACGUAUUCUCUAGUAAUGCCUAGUAAAAAGAUGUAAGAGGUAAACUAUCAAUAUCAAGCCUAGAAAAUAUUAAACAAUAAAAAAACAAAUUAUAGAAAACUCAAGUGUGGUAAGAAAUUAGGUGCUCACAGCAUGCCCCUCUUUGCUUGGUAACAAGAAGAGUUUUCAAGCAAAGAAAAGGUGAGCAUUGUGACUAAUUAUUUUGCCAACCCAUUAUUCAAAAAAUGAAGAAAUGAAGAAAAGAUAAAAGAGUGCAAACGAGUCGUGAUUUUGGACAACCUACAUAUCCCGGGUUAUAAGGGAAUCAGGCCGUGUGUAGUUCAAGGAGAACGAUGGAAUGAUGAGUUUGAGAGUCGAGUGAGAUUCCGUCGAGGUUACGGUCUGCAGUCCUAUUUAUUGCUUCAAAAUGAAAAAGGAAAUUACACUAAAUAAAAUAAAAAAUACAAGGUCCUAUGUACUCUUCUUGUCUCGAGUCUUGUAUCUUCACUUGAGAUCUCGUAAACCCGCAUUGGAAGGUGGGUGCCUUAAAUUUGAAGCUUGAUGACUCGCAUUUGGAGGUGGGUGCUUUGAAUUUGAGGAUUGUUGACCUGCAUUGGACGGUGGGUGCCUUCAGAUUGAAGAUUGAUUCUUGAAGCUUGGGCGUGAACUCAAACUUGGAUUGAAUCUUGAAUGCUCGCUUUUUAAGUAGAAGCCGAGAAGAUGAAUUUUGAGAUGCUGGUUGAUGUAUGCAUUACGUCAAAGCUCGACCCCAACUGUCUUUAUGCUUGAACAACCUUAUUUUUUUAAAAAAUUGGAACCUCAUUCUUGGACAUCAAACUUGUGUUCUCCGGGAACCUGCAAGACAUCACAAGACAAAUAAAACAAACAAAUUUUUUCUGCCCAGUUUAUACUAGGAAACUUUUGUGAGUUAUUAGCAAAAACUGUAAACUAAUUUUUGUUUUUUUAAUUAAGAGCGAAGAAAGCAUCAGGUAAUGGUGUACCCUUUAAAAUACGACUAGGGAAUGGUGUACCCUAUGUCAAAAGAAAAACAACUAGGGAAUGGGGUACCUUAUAUAUGUUGGGAAAUGCAAUCGGGGAAGGUGUAAACUAAACUAAUAUGCGACUAGGAUAGGGUACAAAGAAAACACAACUAGGGAUUGGUGUACCCUAUGUUGAAAAAUACAAAUAGGGAGUGCUAUACCCUUUAAAAAUAAGACUAGGGAAUGAUGUACCUUAUGUCAAAAGAAAAACAUAACUGGGAACUUGUGUACUCUAUGUUGUGAAAUGCAGCUAGGGGAUGAUGUACCUUAUACUAACAUGCGACUAGGGAAUGGUGUACCCUUUGUCAAAAGAAAAACAUAACUAGGGAUUGGAGUACCCUAUGUUGAAAAAAUACAGUUGAGAAUGGUGUACCCUAUGCUAACAUGCGAUUGGAGAAAAUAAUAUUUCCUCUUUUUGUUUUCUUUUUAACAUAUUGAACCAACUUUUAUUUUCUGGGAGCACGAACCAUUGACUUUUUUUAAUAAAAAUAAUACAAACUUCUUUUUUUAAACUAUCGUAGGAGAAAAUUUAUCAGACUAGGGCUUCGUAUCUUAGGAGAAAAUUCAUCAGACUUAGACGUUUUAUCCUAGGAGAAAAUCAUCAGACUAGGUUUUUCUUUUUUUAUUUAUCUUAGGAGAAAGAUUUAUCAAACUAAGACUUCUAUCAUAUGAGAAAAUUCGUUAGACUAGGUUUUCUUAUCUUAGGAAAAAGAUUCAUCAGACUAAAUUUUUUUAUCUUAGGAGAAAGAUUCAUCAUACUAAGAUUUUGAUCCUAGGAGAAAAUUCAUCAGACUAGGGCUUCGUAUCUUAGGAAAAGAUUUAUCAGACUAAGACUUUUUAUCCUAGGAGAAAAUUUAUCAGACUAUUUUUUUUUGAGUUUAUUUAUAUUAGAAGAAAGAUUCACCAAACUAAGAUUUCUUAUCCUAGGAGAACAUUCAUCUGACUAGGUUUUCUUAUCUUAGGAGAAAGAUUCAUCAGACUAAGAUUUUUCUUAUCUUAGCAACUAUAACAACUGAAUGCAUGUUGCCCCUUGGACAAUGUUAUCUUAAUUGUGUUGGCCAAAAUUUAUUUCAUGCAAUUGAAAAGCAGGUAGCAGAUUUUAAAAUCCUUUCUUACUUGUUUUGACAAGGGCUGACUCAAAGCAAAGGACAUAAUAAUGCAAAGAAACAAUGUUAACAAGAGAUGCCCCUAUCGGGAAGGAAAGAAGGAAGAGGAUUUUUUUUAAUGCGGUAACUAGCAUUAAUGAUCAUGACAUGCAUUUUGGACUUUGCGGCCUGAUCUACCAAGCAGAUCUAAUCUUUCCUCUUGUCAUUCCUAUGGCCUUUGAAGUUGGGCUUGUUUGUGUUAAAUUUUUGCAUCAGCUUCACGACUCACUUUUGACUAGUGGUGCCCCGAGAGGUUUUCACCAACAACUCUAUCUCAUUUACUUAUCUCUACUUACCGGCAUCUCACAGUGCCCGUAAGAGUUUUCACUAAUAAGACUCUCUCAUUUUUUAUUUUUUUUGUUCUUUUUCUUUUUUCUUCUUUUCUUUUCUUGAUUCCAUGAGUGAGAACCAUGACCAUAUCCCUCAUAUGACCAUCAUUGCUCAUUGCAGACCCUUGGCAUUUUCUCAAAAUUGAUCAGGAGGUCUUGUUUGGAAGGCUUUUGGAUAUGAUUAGAAAGAAAGGACGACAUGAAAGUUCAAAAGACCCAAUAUGUUGGGGUUGUACAUUUACAACUCUUGAAAUCGACUCUUUUAAAAAACUAAAACAAACUCAUGCCCCAAUUUUAGAUACUGCGAUUUCUUUUUGGUUGUACUGAACCCAGGGGUGAGCCUGCCUACGUAUCCUUUAAAGGAAUCAGGUCAAAAAUAGUUCAAACAUCUGACCUGUUGUUGUUGUUUUUUUNNNNNNNNNNNNNNNNNNNNNNNNNUUUUUUUUCAUCAUUUUUUUCUUUUUGCUCCUUUGUUUAACUCAUACCCCAAUUUUAGAUACUGGGAUUUGUUUUUGGUUGGACUGAACCCCAGGGUGAGCCUGCCUACAUAUCCUUUAAAUGAAUCAGGUCAAACAUAGUUCAAACAUCUGACAUGUUGUUGUUGUUGUUAUUUUUUUUUCAUCAUUUUAUUUUUCUGUUUGCUCCUUUAUUUUCUACUUUUUUUUCUCUUCUUUUUUUUUGGGAAUUAUUUUGACCUCUUUUUUUUCGACUUGAAAUUUCUAAAGGUUUCCCCAGUUUGUACUUUUUGGGAUAUGGUCCUUUUAUUUUAUUUUUUUGGACUUUUGACUCUAAAUUUGAUUCCAAGAGGAGGGGUCAAUGAAAAUAACACAGGCUAAAAAAGCGUGACGAAUGAUGUAGAGUGUUUGGAUAGAAGAAAAAGGGCCUCCCAACCUAAAGAACACCAACCAUACUGUCUCUUUGCAAUCACGACAUUGAUGGACAUGUUCACCUUCUUGGUCUUGUCCAGAAUAAAGUUGUAUGCACAAUACUUUCUUCAUAGUGAAUGAACCUUGUCAAUUUGGACAGCUUUUUCCCUCUUGGUGUGGGAGAAUGCAUUUUGGCACUAGCUGAUCCAUUUCAAAUUGUCUGGACUGCACCCUUUUUCGAAGAAUACUUUCCAUCAAUUAGUGCUAAACUUUCGACCAAGUUUCAACUUAUUCAAUAUUCUUAAGCCCGAUCUUCACAAUGCGUUGGAGGUAGAGAUCUUAAACCUCCAUGGGUAUGACCCCUUAGUUCCAUGUAAAUCUGGAUUAUGCUUACUUUUAAAGUGUUUCAACUCUAUGUUCAUCCUCAAAAGUGUCUUUAUCUUUAGUUGUUCAAUUCAAUACUAAAUUAAUUUCCUAAAAUCAAGCUAAAAUUUUCGCAUGCAUGUCAUGUGACUUAACUAGCAGAAAAGAACUAAACACAGAGUGACGCAAAUGACAAAACGACAAAUUGAAUUUCAUUGAAUAACAAGAUAGAAGGGUUUGACUUAAGACAAGCAAAUUAAAAUCUGAGUUACAACCCUCAGAUAACACCAAAUAACAACAAAACAAACAAACAGAACUCACAGACAAACAGAAUAGAAGGAUAUACAUGUUUAACUCAAAACAAAACAAAUAAAAUCUGGAUCACAACCCUGAAAUAACCUAGAAUAGAAAUAACAUCAAAACAAGCUAACAAGAUUCCUUCCUAGAGAGGAGGGGAUGACUUUUCAAUUAUUAAGCUUGACAUUUUAGCCACAUAUUUUCUCAUCAGCAUCACUAGGACCUUCCCCAAUUUCAAUCUGAUUAACUUUAGUGGGCAUGUUACUUGUCUUCGGCAUUAAUCGCCAGAUUUAGGACCAGCAACAUAUGAUCUUUUAUAGUAACUGACUUACCAGAGGUCUCGAGAGGAUUCUCAUACUCCACGUCACUACGUACCAUCCCCACAAAGUGUGCAUCAUCUUGUGCAGGUAAAUGAUUCUGUAUGAUAUUCGGAGUGUCAAUGUCCUGGACCACAAUUAGUUUUUCCUGGACCAUCCUUUCUAUUUCUCUUUUCAAAUCCCGACAGCUUUCAAUAUUAUGACCCAGGACAUUGGAAUGGUAUUUACACCUUUUAGAAGGAUUAAAUCUUCUUGCACGUGGAUUCACAUAAUUUGGAGGAAUAGGUGCAAUCAUGCCAUAAUGUUUUAAUUUAUCAAACAAGCCUGUAUAUGACUCUCGUAUUGGUGUAAAAUUAUCUUUCGACCUCUACUCCACUCUAUAUUCUUGCCUUAUAUGUGGGUUAUAGGACGCUUAAAACUUUUGUGGAUGCUAAUGAGAAUUUUGCAGUGCUGGUGCUCGCCUUAUAUGGUGUCAUUGUGCAUGGGCAUAUGACUCUGGAUUAUGGACGACAUGCUGAGGUGGAUCAAUAGAGUAUUGUGGGUUCUGAGGUGGAUAUCAAUGCUUAGAGAAAUCAUAGGAAAUAUGAUGAGGCUGCCCAUAUUUUUGAGAUGUUCCCCUAGGACCUCUUCUUGGCCUUGAUGCCAUCAUGGUCUCUUAAUCCUUCUCAUUCGUGUCACCAAAUUACCAGAUCCAAUCUAGACAUACUGAGUUGUAGCUUAGAAAAUAACUUGACUUAUAAUUCUGCCUGUCUUGAGGCCAUUCUCAACCAUUUCACAAAUCUCGAUUGCUUGCGAGAAAGGUUUGCCCAUUGCGGACAUCAUAUUUUGAAAAUAGUCAGGCCCUUGGGCCUGAAGGAAAAUAAUGAUUAACUCGUUGUCAUCCAUGGAUGACUUGACUCUAGCCGCUUGCUCUUAACUCUAGCCACUUACUCUCUCCAUUUAAUGGCAAACUCCCUGAAACUUUUGGUCGGUUUCUUCUUCAUAUUAGAGAGGGAACUGCAAUGUCAAUAUUAUACUGGAACUGCUUGACAAAGGCCUGAGCUAUAUCGUCCCAAGCAUGCCAAUGAGAAGUAUCUUGAUCAGUAAACCAUUCGGAGGGUGCUCCCACAAGGCUUUUCCCAAAAUAAAUCAUUAGUAACUCUUCUUUUCCUCCCGCGCUUCUUAGUUGAUUGCAAUACUUUUUUAAGUGAGCUAUGAGGUUUCCAUGUAUGUCAUACUUUUCAAACUUAGGGGUCUUGAAACUAAGUGUCAAAUGGACAACAUGAAACAUACAUAGAUCCUUGAAGGUAAUACUUUUUUGACCUGCCAACCUUUGUAUGUUUUUUAUUCAUUGUUCCAAGCUUUUUAUUUUUUGGGCUAUUUCUUCUUGUGCCAUCUUUCGGGCAGGAUUCUCCAUCUCUGCAGGAAGAUCAAAUAGGUACGAGUGGUACUCAGGCGAGUGGUGUUGUUCUUGCUGGGUAGCAAACUGUGGCUCAUGAUUCUUCCUAUGUAUCACUGUUGGCUGCGAGAUGGUAUUGACAAGGGUAACAAUUGUAGUUGCAUGAUUCGUUCUUAAUGGCACACAUUGGCAGCAGAAGUCCCAGCCAUAUUUAUGUAGUUGGGAUAAGAACUAACUCCAGGUGGACAGGACGGAUCAGACAACGAGACCUGAGUAGCUGUCGUCAAGAUGGGUGUAACCUCUGGGAAACCAGGAAUAAACGAGGGUGGUUCCUAGCCAUCGACCCAUGCUCGAAACAUUUUAGCCAUUCGCUUUUUCAACAUCCUAUUUCCCUCGACUACAACGGACUCUUGUUGAACCGUCUGAACCUGAGUCUCGUGAGCACUUGUAAUGACUUCAAUAUUUAUUGGCAUUUUCCCUUCGAUUUACUAUUGUAAGCUUACCAUAAACCAACCUCCUCAAACCUUUAACCAUAAUUUAGAACAAAUGACACCUUAGAAUGGACUUAGUCAAUUCUUAUUAUUAUUUAAUUAUUUUUCUUUUAAAAAGUAGAUCGAUCGAACCCGAUGUAGGUUGCCUACGUAUCAUGUGGGGACAUAAAUCUGACUUUGCGUAGUUCGGGGAGAUCCAAAAUAAAGUAAACAACUUAACUUCUAUUUUUUCUUACUGUUAUAAAAUAAAAAUAAAAAUCAAACCAUGAAAGCUUCUAAAUGGAAAAUAUUUCGUAUUUCAAUUUUUUCUUUUUUCUUUUUUUAAGAAAAUUUCGAAAGAAACAUUUCUAAAAAAGAAAGAUUUUUGUUUUUUGAAUAUUUUGAAAGAAAUAUUUCUAAAGAAGAAAGAAAGUAUUUUUGGAUUUCAAUAUUUUAUCUUUUUAAAAAAAUAUUUCGAAAGAAAGACUUCUAAAGAAGAAAGAAAAUCUUUUGGAUUUUUGGAUUUGACGUCUAAAAAAAAAAGACUUAAAGACUUCUAAAGAAAAAACGUCUCAAAAAAAGAUUUCUAAAGAAGAAAUAAAGAAAAAAAAUCUUUUUUACUGGAUUUUUUGAAAAUUAGGGACCGAACCCGAUGAAGGUUGCCUACGCAUCUCACAUUCGGUGAGAAUCAGACUCGCGUAGUUUGGCGAAAUCGACUAUUUUUUUCUCGUUUUGAUUUUUAUAAAAAUUAAUCUUUAAAACCAUAGGCACUAGCCCACAUCAUUUUUUUUCUUUUAUAAUUUCUCUCUCUUUAUUCAACUGAUCUACCCUAAAGUCGGUCAACAUACAAGCCUCCUAAAUAAUGUACCAGAUAGCACAUAAUAUAAACAUAAUGGUCUCAACAAGGUACCUAUCCUAAAAUAGAACCCGACCCUUGUGCCGAGCCCUGCUAAGUCAAAUGCACAUGAUGCAAAUAGUGUGAACCUACUAGGGAUAUCCGGCAUGAAAUUUUAUUUUUCUAGGUUUAAUUCCUGGUGGAUGGGGUAUCUAGAAUGGCUUACUUGAGCGGAUAACUCAAGCCGAGGAGGGUCAGCGUACCAGUAGCAUUACUUUCCGGCUUAGCUGGUAGUGCAAAUGCCUCGGAGUGGCAAGCACCUCGGCUAUCUCAAAGAAAGUGGGUUAUGUCAAGCAAAUGUCCAAUUUUAAUUUCAAGAAGAUUCAGAGGGGGUGCGUGAGAAGAUAGUUUAUAAUACAGUUCAACGAUAUCAAAGCGGUAAAGAGCAGGCAAGUAGCACAUUAGGCCUAAAUAAAUCACAAUAUAUACAAAAAUUAAUAAAGCCAAAUAAAGUCAAUGUAUAACCUCGAAUUCUGGUUGUUCCUCUGCAGAGUCGCCAGAGCUGUCACACCUCUUUUUUACCCCUAUAAAGAUAUAUUAUGUUGUGUUGUAGGGUAAAAACGUUUUUCCAUUUGAAGUGAUAAAUUUGAGUAGGGAUUAUUUUGUUUACAGAGUCGCCACUUGAAAGUCAAUGUACAAAGGAAGGUUUAACACUAUUUUUAUCGGUUCGCGAAAAUAGAGUUCGGGUAAGGAAUUCUGUUAACCGGGGAGAAGGUGUAAGGCAUUCCUCGAAUCCCGAGGAUCUAGCACGGUCGCUUUAUUGACUUGAAUUAAUAUUGGACAAACUGUGAUUUAUAUAAUUUUUAUGUUUUUUCUAUGUCCGCUUUUAUUGCUUGAUUAUUAUAAUUAUUAAAGAAUGAUUUGGAUGAUAAGAUGUUGUAACCACACUACGCAAGCGAAUGCGUGAUCGAGACGAAAUUUAUAAAUUUAGUCAUAGCAGUGCUACGCAAGCGAAUCCGCAGUCAUGACAAAGGACUAUUAGUACGUUAUUACUUUUGAAAAAAAUUAUUACAUUUGAGAAAAUUAAUUUAGAAAAUUAUUAAAGGUCACUACUGCGCUACGCAAGCGAAUCUACAAUUAUGGCGAAAAGAUUAACUAAAAUUAAGAAUUAAUUAAAGCUAUUGGAUAUGGUAUGAGAUUAUUGAAUUAAUUUAUUGAAGGUUAAACAUCACGCUACGCAAGCGAGUCCGUGAAUAAAAAAGUUAAAGUGCGCCUACUAAUGGGCUAGCGUUUAAAUUAAUUAUUAAAGAGGCUAAGUUAUAAAGUUUUUAAUCAUAAAAGAAAAAUCUGAUUGUUUGUGGCAUUUAUUUGGCAAAAGAACUAUGUACAUAAAAGUUAGGCCUUAACUUGUGGUGAAUUUGGACUAACCAGUAAACCAACCUUUUAUUGUUAGGGGUAUUAUUAUUUUUAGCCCGUACCAGAAACUAUUUACAUCUGAUAGCCGACAAAGUGUAUAGAAUUUGUAUAAUUUUUGUAUAUAACAUACAAUAUAUAUAUAAAUUUUAUAUAUUUUUUCGACUAUUAUUUUUACAGUGGUUAUACAAUGUCAUUUUUCCUUAUUGUUACUGUGGGCCAACAGCUUAUUAUCACUAAAGUGGGCCUGGCAGAUUUCUCUUGAGCCCAAAUUCUUAAAAUUACACCUACCGACCUGGGCCAUUUAACAUUAUUGACAAAUGAUGCCUAAAAUCAAUUUACAAGCAAAUCAUACGGCCUAAGUAACACUUAAUUAUGAACUAACCAACACAAAUUAAGACAAAAUACUACUUACUUGAUUUACGUUACUUAAAUCUCAGACAACUAACCAAUACAUAUUAUACAAAUAAUUGAACAUAAUGAACAUUUAUAUCAAUGUAAACUAGCAGUAAAUAAGCAGAUUUUAUUCUAACAAAUAACACCCAAAUAAUGAAUUGAAAGAGAAGUUAAAGAAAGGAUGGACUUUUAUUGCUAAAAUUUCCAGCAAGUACAGGGAAGAGAAGCUCCAAAACAUUAAUCCUCAAGUGAGCUACGGACUAGAAACUUGAACCGAUUCUGGCGAUCCCAAACAGACUGAGCUCGAGACGGUGGUUUUGGGCUGAUUUUCACACUGGUUUGGGGUGGUUUUUCAGCUGUAUUUUUGUUGAUUUUCAUGACUUAUUUCGGGUGGAAUUUUUGUGGUUUUUUGAGUGUUUAGCAGCUGAGUUUCAGCUGCGUUUUCGGGGCUAUUUUCGUGGAGUUUUUGACUCGAUUUUUCCAUGUUUGUUGGGGUGUUUGGGGGCUGGUUUGGGGUGUCUUGGAGCUGAUUUUCAGAGCUCGUUUUGGGGUCGUUUUUGGCUGCUUUUCAUGGCAAGUUGAAGGUGCUUUGAAGUCAUUUUGGGACUGCUUUCAAGCUGCUUUUUUCGGCUGCGUUUUGGGGGUGGAAAGAUGCUUUGUUUUGCUGGUUUUUGGUGCUAUUUUGCCGUGUUUUUGGGCUGAUUUUGUAGCAGGUUUUCAAGCUGAGUUUUCAGAUGGUUUUGAGGAGUUUUUCAGCUUACUUCCAUUACUGGCAAUGGAGUUUUUUCGGGAAGUUUUGGGCAGAGGUUGGAGGUGCUUUUUGGGGCCGAUUUUGGAGGUUUUUUAGGUGACGAAAAUGAUGUUUGACGGAGGUGAAACUGGCUGGUUUCAAUGGAGGAACUAUGGUUGUUUUUCUCCGGGAAGAAGAAGGCGUUGCCCCCUUUUUAGCUCACUCGGUUUCUUUCCCUUUUUGUGCUCUUUUUUUAAGAAAAAAUAAAAUUCCCUUUUUUUCCUCAUGUGUGUACAUAGAAUAAGAAAAGAUGAGAGGAAGAGUGUUGAGAAUGAACGAUGGGACAAAGAAAUAGCGUAAGAAGUGGAGUGAUAGGGACAAAUAAAUAGUAUAAGGAAUGUGGAUGGGACAAGAAAGCAGUGUAGGGAAGGUGAAAGGCAAUUUAAUUAGAUUUGAUCCGUAUUUAAAAUAAAUUUUUGUGACCAUUAUGUAGUAGACUGUGUAAAAUAAUAUUACGUAUUCUCUAGAAAAGCCUAGUAAAAAAAUAAUAAGAGCUAAAAUAUCAA